rnacentral:tRNA from 1 species
UGCUAUAUUUCUUAAAUAGUUAAGAAACUGUAUUCUCAGCAUUCAUAAUGCUGGGGUCGGUGGUUCAAGUCCACCCGUAGCCACCA